GGAAGGGUAGGUCAAAUGGCAGACCGGUGUAGGAGAUAAUGUGGCUUGUCAAAGUCACGGACAGCAAUUUUUCUUUCCACAGGGGUACACUGAUGUGGGUUCGAGUCCCAUUCCUUCCA
rnacentral:tRNA from 1 species